UUUCCUGAAACGUGGACAUGGGGGUGAAAGCUAGAGGAUUCUCUCUGACCUGGAGAAUUGCAGAAUUUCAACAAAUAGAUGGACGUUGACUAACAUGGAUAGAAACUGAUUGCACAUUUGCACCCUCCGACUCAAGUGAUCUCCCAUGAACCCUGCAUCUUCCCGUUUACCUAUGGUGAUGUCACCUACUACAGCUGCAUCUCCACCCACAGUGACUUUGACUGGUGUUCUCUUGACAAGGAAUUCCAAGGCAGGUGGCGCUACUGCACAGGGCUGGAUUCUCCUCAGUGUGUCUUCCCCUUCAUCUUCAGACAAAAAGUCAUUCACAAUUGCACCAAGGAAGGCUAUAUUCUGAAUCGGAGUUGGUGUUCAUUGACAAAAAAUUACGAUAAAGAUAGGAAAUGGAAGCAAUGUUCUCCUCAGAAUACUUAGAUACCUCUUGGCGUUCUUGAAGAGACAGAAGUCACACAUUCAUCAGCUGCCUCUCAAAAUAUAAUUCUAUCCUUUCCAAUCCUGACC